UGUGUUGAUUUUGAUUUCAGAAGGAACCGAUUUGAGAUCGAUUCCAUAAACCCAUUUGCUGGUUUCAGAUUGUACAUCGUUGUUUCGCGCGUUAGAUCGCUCGAUAUCGGACUUAUCUGCCCAUUUGCCAGGAGGGAACUUGCUUGGACUGGAAAGAUUUCAAAUGUUGGACUUCAUUUUCGAAAUUUGAAGUGCAUUCAGCGCAGCAAUGUUCUCUAAUCCCCAUUUCAUUCAUAGAAGCAUUUUUCUGCAAAUAUGAGAGGUAUGUUCAUAUUGCUUUCUGGCCCUGUUUUGAAAAAACUUAGCAGAAGAGAGAGAGAUAAAGAUGAUUUGGGUUUCAUAUCUGCGAGUAAAACUCUGUAAAACAACACCAUGCGUGGCUAUAUAAUGACCAAAAAAGGGAGGAAACACAAGGACACUAGCCCAUCUGACUUUCCCAGAAACACUUUUUCUUUUAUGUUUCUGUCCUUAUUCUCAGUCUGUCUUUAGGCUCCAACACAACAAAAGUACAACUACCCAACCCCUCUCUCUCCCCACAUAUAUAAACUUCAAAAUAUUGAUGAUAAUGGAGGUUCUCCAUGCAAAAUUCCAAACCAAGUAGUACUUUUUUCAGUCAAAUUUGAAGAAACGGGAAGAUACAAGGGUAUAAAACAAAGAAAAACUAGGUAUAUAUACAAGUUUUAGCUCCUAAUGUUGUUGUAACGACCCUAAAUUUUCUACUUAAUCUAAAGUUGGUACUGUAUGCAUAUCAUGAAUGCAUCUUAAAACACUGGACUUACGUGUUCGAAAACAACUUAGCAUACAAUGUUCAUGAUAUGUAUGCAGUAGCGACUUUACGG